rnacentral:rRNA from 1 species
GGGUUGUGAGGUUAAGCGACUAAGCGUACACGGUGGAUGCCCUGGCAGUCAGAGGCGAUGAAGGACGUGCUAAUCUGCGAAAAGCGCCGGCGAGGUGAUAUGAACCCUUGACCCGGCGAUGUCCGAAUGGGGAAACCCAGUGUGUUCCGACACACUAUCGUUAGCUGAAUACAUAGGCUAACGAGGCGAACCGGGGGAACUGAAACAUCUAAGUACCCCGAGGAAAAGAAAUCAACCGAGAUUCCCCCAGUAGCGGCGAGCGAACGGGGAGCAGCCCGGAGUCUGAAUCAGCUUGUGUGUUAGUGGAAGCGUCUGGAAAGUCGCAGGGUACAGGGUGAUACUCCCGUACACGAAAGCACACAUGCUGUGAACUCGAAGAGUAGGGCGGGACACGUGGUAUCCUGUCUGAAUAUGGGGGGACCAUCCUCCAAGGCUAAAUACUCCUGACUGACCGAUAGUGAACCAGUACCGUGAGGGAAAGGCGAAAAGAACCCCGGCGAGGGGAGUGAAAAAGAACCUGAAACCGUGUACGUACAAGCAGUGGGAGCAUCCUUCGGGGUGUGACUGCGUACCUUUUGUAUAAUGGGUCAGCGACUUAUAUUCUGUAGCAAGGUUAACCGUAUAGGGGAGCCGGAGGGAAACCGAGUCUUAACUGGGCGUUAAGUUGCAGGGUAUAGACCCGAAACCCGGUGAUCUAGCCAUGGGCAGGUUGAAGGUUGGGUAACACUAACUGGAGGACCGAACCGACUAAUGUUGAAAAAUUAGCGGAUGACCUGUGGCUGGGGGUGAAAGGCCAAUCAAACCGGGAGAUAGCUGGUUCUCCCCGAAAGCUAUUUAGGUAGCGCCUCGUGAACUCAUCCUCGGGGGUAGAGCACUGUUUCGGCUAGGGGGCCAUCCCGGCUUACCAACCCGAUGCAAACUGCGAAUACCGAGGAAUGUUAUCACGGGAGACACACGGCGGGUGCUAACGUCCGUCGUGAAGAGGGAAACAACCCAGACCGCCAGCUAAGGUCCCAAAGUCAUGGUUAAGUGGGAAACGAUGUGGGAAGGCACAGACAGCCAGGAUGUUGGCUUAGAAGCAGCCAUCAUUUAAAGAAAGCGUAAUAGCUCACUGGUCGAGUCGGCCUGCGCGGAAGAUGUAACGGGGCUAAACCAUGCACCGAAGCUGCGGCAGCGACACUAUGUGUUGUUGGGUAGGGGAGCGUUCUGUAAGCCUGCGAAGGUGUGCUGUGAGGCAUGCUGGAGGUAUCAGAAGUGCGAAUGCUGACAUAAGUAACGAUAAAGCGGGUGAAAAGCCCGCUCGCCGGAAGACCAAGGGUUCCUGUCCAACGUUAAUCGGGGCAGGGUGAGUCGACCCCUAAGGCGAGGCCGAAAGGCGUAGUCGAUGGGAAACAGGUUAAUAUUCCUGUACUCGGUGUUACUGCGAAGGGGGGACGGAGAAGGCUAUGUUGGCCGGGCGACGGUUGUCCCGGUUUAAGCAUGUAGGCGGAGGUUCCAGGUAAAUCCGGUACCUUGUUAACGCUGAGGUGUGAUGACGAGGCACUACGGUGCUGAAGCAACAAAUGCCCUGCUUCCAGGAAAAGCCUCUAAGCAUCAGGUAACACCAAAUCGUACCCCAAACCGACACAGGUGGUCAGGUAGAGAAUACCAAGGCGCUUGAGAGAACUCGGGUGAAGGAACUAGGCAAAAUGGUGCCGUAACUUCGGGAGAAGGCACGCUGAUAUGUAGGUGAAGCCCCUGCGGGUGGAGCUGAAAUCAGUCGAAGAUACCAGCUGGCUGCAACUGUUUAUUAAAAACACAGCACUGUGCAAACACGAAAGUGGACGUAUACGGUGUGACGCCUGCCCGGUGCCGGAAGGUUAAUUGAUGGGGUUAGCGGCAACGCGAAGCUCUUGAUCGAAGCCCCGGUAAACGGCGGCCGUAACUAUAACGGUCCUAAGGUAGCGAAAUUCCUUGUCGGGUAAGUUCCGACCUGCACGAAUGGCGUAAUGAUGGCCAGGCUGUCUCCACCCGAGACUCAGUGAAAUUGAAAUCGCUGUGAAGAUGCAGUGUACCCGCGGCAAGACGGAAAGACCCCGUGAACCUUUACUAUAGCUUGACACUGAACACUGGUCCUUGAUGUGUAGGAUAGGUGGGAGGCUUUGAAGUGUGGACGCCAGUCUGCAUGGAGCCGUCCUUGAAAUACCACCCUUUAAUGGCUGGUGUUCUAACGUGGACCCGUAAUCCGGGUUGCGGACAGUGUCUGGUGGGUAGUUUGACUGGGGCGGUCUCCUCCUAAAGAGUAACGGAGGAGCACGAAGGUCAGCUAAUCCUGGUCGGACAUCAGGAGGUUAGUGCAAUGGCAUAAGCUGGCUUGACUGCGAGAGUGACGGCUCGAGCAGGUGCGAAAGCAGGUCAUAGUGAUCCGGUGGUUCUGUAUGGAAGGGCCAUCGCUCAACGGAUAAAAGGUACUCCGGGGAUAACAGGCUGAUACCGCCCAAGAGUUCAUAUCGACGGCGGUGUUUGGCACCUCGAUGUCGGCUCAUCACAUCCUGGGGCUGAAGUAGGUCCCAAGGGUAUGGCUGUUCGCCAUUUAAAGUGGUACGCGAGCUGGGUUUAGAACGUCGUGAGACAGUUCGGUCCCUAUCUGCCGUGGGCGCUGGAGAAUUGAGGGGGCUGCUCCUAGUACGAGAGGACCGGAGUGGACGCAUCACUGGUGUUCGGGUUGUCAUGCCAAUGGCACUGCCCGGUAGCUAAAUGCGGAAGAGAUAAGUGCUGAAAGCAUCUAAGCACGAAACUUGCCCCGAGAUGAGUUCUCCCUGACUCCUUGAGAGUCCUGAAGGAACGUUGAAGACGACGACGUUGAUAGGCCGGGUGUGUAAGCGCAGCGAUGCGUUGAGCUAACCGGUACUAAUGAACCGUGAGGCUUAACCUUACAACGCCGAAGCUGUU